AGUGAACGCUGGCGGUAGGCCUAACACAUGCAAGUCGAACGGCAGCACAUUAAGUGCUUGCUCUUACGGGUGGCGAGUGGCGGACGGGUGUGGCAUACAUCUGAAUCUACUUUUUCGUGGGUUAUACCGUAGGGGAACUUACGCUAAUACCGCAUACUACCUACGGGUGGAAGCAGGGGAUCUUCUGACUUUGCGCGUUUUGAUGAGCCGAUGUCGGAUUGGCUAGUUGGCGGGGUAAAGGGCCACGAAGGCUACGAUCCGUAGCUGGCAUGAGAGGAUGAUUCGCCAGAUGGGAACAGAGACACGGUCCAGACUCCGACGGGAGGACGCAGCGGGGACUCCUGCACGAUGGAGGCAAGCCUGAUACAGCAAUACCGCGGGGGUGAAGAAGGAGUUAGGGUUGUAAAGUCAUUUUGUUGGGAAAGAAAAGCAGCAGGUUACUCCCCCGCUGUUAUGACGGUACCCAAAGAAUAAGCACCGGCUAACUUCGUG
rnacentral:rRNA from 1 species